rnacentral:rRNA from 1 species
UACGGGAGGCAGCAGUGGGGAAUAUUGCACAAUGGGCGAAAGCCUGAUGCAGCUAUGCCGCGUGUAUGAAGAAGGCCUUAGGGUUGUAAAGUACUUUCAUCGGGGAGGAAAAAACAAAACUAAUAAUUUUAUUUCUUGACGUUACCCGAAAAAGAAGCACCGGCUAACUCCGUGCCAGCAGCCGCGGUAAUACGGAGGGUGCUAGCGUUAAUCAGAAUUACUGGGCGUAAAGAGCACGUAGGUGGUUUUUUUAAAGUCAGAUGUGAAAUCCCUGGGCUUAACCUGGAACUGCAUUUUGAAACUGAAAUACUAGAGUAUCGUAGAGGGAGGUAGAAUUCUAGGUGUAGCGGUGAAAUGCGUAGAUAUCUGGAGGAAUACCUGUGGCGAAAGCGGCCUCCUAAACGAAUACUGACACUGAGGUGCGAAAGCUGGGGAGCAAACAGGGAUUAGAUA